rnacentral:rRNA from 1 species
AACGUAGGACGCAAGCGUUAUCCGGAGUUACUGGGCGUAAAGAGCGCGCAGGCGGUCGUGCAAGUCGCGUGUGAAAGCCCCCGGCUCAACUGGGGAGGGUCACGCGAUACUGCUCGACUCGAAGGCAGGAGAGGGAAGUGGAAUUCCCGGUGUAGUGGUGAAAUGCGUAGAUAUCGGGAGGAACACCAGUGGCGAAGGCGGCAUCCUGGACCAAUACUGACGCUGAGGAGCGAAAGCGUGGGGAGCGAACAGG